rnacentral:pre_miRNA from 1 species
AGUGGGAUAGCUGGGUCACUGGUGGUUCCAUUCCAAAUUUUCUGAGGAUUCUCCAUACUAUUUUCCAGAGUGGUAACACCAAUUUACAGUCCCAACAGCAAU